rnacentral:lncRNA from 1 species
GCCGCCGUCGAUGGAUUUCUUGCAGGUUGGCGACAUGUUGCUUCGGAUUUGGUACUAUCCCCAUCUCCCUCUCCCCCUCUCCCUCGGUGUGGACGCACGCACCUAAACCCAAAACCUGAACUGAAUCAGUCGAGCGCUCGUUGCCGGAUCGUUGUACCAUCGUCCCUGUCGCCGUCGCAUCAGUUCCACACCGCUACAGCGCUGCCUACCACCGCACUCCAUUGGCUUGGAUUUGUUUGUGGCAUGGGCUGGGAACUGUACGGUGUUGUCUGAUGCAUGUUCCGCACUGGGAGGUUUGGUCGGCUGACGCUAGGUUUGUUUCUGAUGUGGCUACUCUGGAAUACAAUUUAUGGGCGAGAGAUCAGACUUUCAGGUUGGGUGCGGUAUUAUAUCUCAUCAGAUUCAGUAACCAGCGUGGAAUUAAUUUUAAUUUUGUUCUUCAUCAGAUAAGUAGAGCCAUGCUUUACCCCAAUCUUCAUUUUAUGAAUCUCAACUUCAAAAAUCAUGAUAGUUGCACUGUAUUUUGUUGAGUCCAACACAAAGCUGAGAGCAGAGUACCUACUUUGUCUUGGUAAGCCAAAUAGUUGGUACUUGCUGAGGCUACAAAAUUAUCUUAAUUGUUCCAUUUAGUAGUUCACUGAAUAUUAAACAAUGCUGUUUCUUCCACUGGGGAGUUGUUUUAUGUAGCCCGAACAACAAACAGCCUAUGAACUUCUAAACCAAUUCUUUUUUUUAUUAGGACCCUGCUCUUUUAACUGAAAAACUGGGAGCACUAGCAGUUCUUCACAAGGUAAUCACCUCCUAUGAAUGUUUGGUGGUGCUGCUCCAAUUUCUAUUGCAGUGCUUCUGAUGUAUGAAUGGAUUAUUUUCCUCAUUUGCUAAUUAAUGCAACUGGCGUAAUUCUUCAUGAGAAUAGAUAUUUUUGUAGUGCACAGUAUGAUGUUUUUAGUUACCCUCCUUAUGAAUAGAUUUUUUGUAGUGCACAGUACAAUAUUUUUGUCAGGGUUGCAUGUUGCUUGCUACUGCUACUGCUUGUACAAUUGUGUUUUUUUGUAAUAUUUCUUAACUGUUAAGAGAUAUGGCCACACUGAGAUUUUGCUAUGGGCAGGAAAGUGGAUUGGACAAUGCCGCUAGUUCGGAUGGCGCCCCAUAUGGUUGUCGACCAUGGGCGACGUGAGGAGGGACAAGGUAGAGAAAGGGGGUCAGGUUGGCGCCACAUUAGAGGUGAGCGAGGGGGCCGGGGUUGCGUCGCUGCAGAGAUGCGCGAGGGGAUCGGAGCUGCCAAGCGGAUUAAUCAGAGCACUUCGCUCCUGCUGCCUUUGGCCUGAUGCUUAGAUGGAUUGAUGCGUAAGUUUGAAUCCUUUCAUUUUUCACUUCUCUAAUGGGUGGCUGAUGGCCUGAUGCUUUGAUGGAUCGAUGCAUGCUAGAACUGGCUGAUAUGUGCGUGUGUGUGCACAUUUUUUUCUUUUGAUUUUUGUAGAGAUUGGCUCAUGCUUCUCUGCUUAUGGAUUUCUUCUUUCUUCUGUCUGUGUUUCUCACUCUGUUGUUGAAUGAUCUGGUGAUUUUUUUUCUUUGUGGGCUUAUCUGAUGAAAUUUACUGCUACUUAGAUUGUGCACUGACACUGCCACCAGAAGAUAGAUCAUAGAUGCAUGUGUUUGCUUUCGAACAUGGUGCGUAAUCUUGUGGUUUGCCAACUGUCACCUCCGGCAAUUUCAGUUCAACAUGUCUUGGUUUUUGCAUUCUGAGUUCAGAGUUCUACAUAGUGGAAUG